CAAUAGCGUAUAUUUAAGUUGUUGCAGUUAAAAAGCUCGUAGUUGGAUUUCGGUUAAGAGCGACCGGUCCGCCGUUUGGUGUGCACUGGUUGGUUUUAACUUCCUGUCGAGGACGUGCUCUGGGUUUAACGACCUGGACUCGGAGUCUACGUGGUUACUUUGAAAAAAUUAGAGUGUUCAAAGCGGGCUUACGCUUGAAUAUUUCAGCAUGGAAUAACACUAUAGGACUCCUGUCCUAUUUCGUUGGUCUCGGGACGGGAGUAAUGAUUAAGAGGAACAGUUGGGGGCAUUCGUAUUUCAUUGUCAGAGGUGAAAUUCUUGGAUUUAUGAAAGACGAACUUCUGCGAAAGCAUUUGCCAAGGAUGUUUUCAUUAA
rnacentral:rRNA from 1 species